CGAGCUGUCAGCACAGAGCCCGACGCGGGGCUCGAACUCACGAACCGCGAGAUCAUGACCUGAGCUGAAGUUGGACACUUAACCGACUGAGCCACCUAGGUGCCCCUCGUUCAGUCUAUUGCUAAAGCCUACAUCAUGCCCUCCCCUGCCUUCACUCUGUCACUGCCCUGAUUUGGCUUUUGGGGGGUUGAGGGAUGGGGGGUGCAGUAUUCUGCCUCUCAGAUCUCUGAACCAUUACACUUGCCACCACCAGAAUGCUCUAACAGAUCUGGCCACUUGAUCCUGGGCUGGAAAAUCCUGAAUGACUUCCUAAUGCUCUAAAAGUUUUUGCAAUCAAAUGGAAUGCUUGAGUGCUCUUAACUCUUCUCUAACUUUGUGUGCUUCCUGCCUUUCUGCAUUCUGCCGAGAAUGAGCACUUCUCUCAGCCACAAGAUCAUCCUUUCCUGUUCUCAUGGAAACCAAUAAAAUUUUGCUAAUGAUA